UACGUAGGGUGCGAGCGUUAAUCGGAAUUACUGGGCGUAAAGCGUGCGCAGGCGGUUCGUUGUGUCGGCGGUGAAAGCCCCGGGCUUAACCUGGGAAUGGCCGUUGAAACUGGCGAACUGGAGUGUGGCAGAGGGGGGGUGGAAUUCCGCGUGUAGCAGUGAAAUGCGUAGAGAUGUGGAGGAACACCGAUGGCGAAGGCAGCCCCCUGGGCCAAUACUGACGCUCAUGCACGAAAGCAUGGGGAGCAAACAGG
rnacentral:rRNA from 1 species